CCUGCAUUUGAUUAGUUAGUUGGUGAGGUAAUGGCUCUACCAAGACUAUGAUCAGUAGGGGACCUAAGAGGGCGUCCUCCCACACUGGAACUGAGACACGGACCAGACUUCUACGGAAGGCAGCAGUGAGGAAUAUUGGUCAAUGGAGGAAGCUCUGAACCAGCUACGCCGCGUGCAGGAUGAAAGUCUUUUAGGUUGUAAACUGCUUUUGUAUAGAAAUAAAAUUUACUACGAGUUGGUAAACUGAAGGUACUAUACGAAUAAGUGUCGGCUAAUUCCGUGCCAGCAGCAGCGGUAAUACGGAAGACACAAGCGUUAUCCGGAUUUAUUGGGUUUAAAGGGUGUGUAGGCGGUUUAUUAAGUCAGUAGUGAAAGCUUACAGCUUAACUGUAAAAUUGCUAUUGAUACUGGCAAACUUGAGUAAGAUUGGAGUAUCUGGAAUGUAUGGUGUAGCGGUGAAAUGCAUAGAUAUCAUACAGAACACCAAUAGCGAAGGCAGGAUACUAAAUCUUUACUGACGCUGAGACACGAAAGCGUGGGUAGCAAACAGGAUUAGAUACCCUGGUAGUCCACGCCCUAAACUAUGAUCACUAGCUAUUGGAAAAACUAUAUUCAGUGGCUAAGCGAAAGUGAAAGUGAUCCACCUGGGGAAUAUAAUCGCAAGAUUGAAACUCAAAGGAAUUGACGGGGUUCCGCCCAAGCGGUGGAGCAUGUGGUUUAAUUCGAUGAUACGCGAGGAACCUUACCAAGACUUAAAUGUAUUACGAAUAAACUGGAAACAGUUUAGUCUAUACUGACGGAAUACAAGGUGCUGCAUGGUUGUCUUCAGUUCGUGCUGUGAAGUGUUUGGUUCAGUCCUAUAACGAGCGCAACCCCUAUUGUUAGUUGCCAUCAGAUAAUGCUGGGAACUCUAACAAAACUGCCGGUGCAAAUUGUGAGGAAGGUGGGGAUAA
rnacentral:rRNA from 1 species